GUCUCAUGAGAGGAGGUGUGGGAAUCAGAGUCAGGAGGACAGAAAAGAGCACUUCUGCUUAUUUCAUCAGUUAAGAAGCGUGUGAAAGUGUUUUAAGUCACUGACACACAAAGACAGCUGGGCCUAAUGGCAUAGCUGGGAUAGCUUUACUUGUGUUGCAUUCAUUCAAAGAGCCUGACUCAUUCAGAAGCUGGUUGGAUCCUGGAUUGAGACUUUGGCGUGUGUUCUUGGGACUCCUGGAGGAAACUGCACCUGGAGCUGUAGGCAACCAUGGGGACUCCAAGUGUGACUGUCCUUCCAAGCUGGCUUCAAAUCCCUAAUUCACUCAGGCUGCCCUGUGGUUCAGACUUCAGUGUCAGCAGAUUGUGGUAGCUCACUUGCCUUUGGCUGCCAAGUCUCAUGGGUGACUGAUGGGUUAUUUAUAUUUGCAGAUUGGGAUUUAGUUGGCCUAUUCUAAGUAUAUGACAAUGUCUCUGCACCUCUGUUUCCUGUCUCUAAAGAAUUAAUGACUGUCCUGACAAAGAUGGAGAGCCUGUUUGGGAAGGAAGAUGGAGCAGGAAAAAUAGAACAUUUCGAGCUCCAAAGGUGUCAUGUACUUUGGCAGGGGGGACAGAAAGGGAUUGGGGGUGUCGCUGAAGAUGGAAAACGUUGAGUUGUAUUAAGUUAACCAAUUAAAUUAGGGCAAAGAGAGGCCAAUGAGGAGAGAGACGAGGACUGCAAGUCUCAAGAACCGGGGCCAGGCUGGAGGCAGGCAGUGGGCCUUGGGCGGUGGAGGGGGAUUCAAGUUAUGAGGCAGGCGGUAGGCACAGAGGUCAAAUGAAGGCUGGCUCCACUCCACACUGGUUACCCACUACGUGUAGUAGAGGAUGCCCUGCGGCCUGCAGAGCCACAACAGGUGACUGAAGUUUAUAUAAACGCGAUUGAAUCCUGUU